CUGUUUGAAAGUAUCUUUCCAGCUCUGUGUUGGAGUGUCUUUAAAUAUGACCAGCCCUGUGCAGAAAGCUUACAGGCUUUUUGUGGCAUCCUAAAGAGAGGGAUAUUGAAGGGAGCUGAUGCGGCUUUGAUCCUUAGGCUUGUUGUCAAAGUGCUUGGAAAUGAAGAGAGUGUUAGCUACAAUUGACUGUGACAAUUAGGAGAUGGUCAGAGCUCUAGAGUGGAACACUUAAAGGGGAGGAACCUGCUGUUACUUUACCGGCACUGCUGCUGCUCCCAUCAUAGAUGGCCAGGCUACCUCCCAGCUGCAGUAAGAAAGUAAGAAAGCUUAGG
rnacentral:lncRNA from 1 species